rnacentral:rRNA from 1 species
GUGCACGCUGGCGGUAGGCCUAACACAUGCAAGUCGAACGGCAGCACAGUAAGAGCUUGCUCUUACGGGUGGCGAGUGGCGGACGGGUGAGGAAUACAUCGGAAUCUACUUUUUCGUGGGGGAUAACGUAGGGAAACUUACGCUAAUACCGCAUACGACCUACGGGUGAAAGCAGGGGAUCUUCGGACCUUGCGCGAUUGAAUGAGCCGAUGUCGGAUUAGCUAGUUGGCGGGGUAAAGGCCCACCAAGGCGACGAUCCGUAGCUGGUCUGAGAGGAUGAUCAGCCACACUGGAACUGAGACACGGUCCAGACUCCUACGGGAGGCAGCAGUGGGGAAUAUUGGACAAUGGGCGCAAGCCUGAUCCAGCCAUACCGCGUGGGCGAAGAAGGCCUUCGGGUUGUAAAGCCCUUUUGUUGGGAAAGAAAAGCAGCAGGUUAAUACCCCGCUGUUCUGACGGUACCCAAAGAAUAAGCACCGGCUAACUUCGUG